rnacentral:lncRNA from 1 species
UGUCAUGGAAGAUGCUGUCACAACAGCUGGUCUAUGCACCAUCUUGGGAAGGAGCAUAUCUUUCAAAAGUUGUUUUCUUUUCAUCAAGUAGUGCAUUUCUCACUGGUGAAAGGGAGAUUAAUAAACAGAUCAACACCAGAAGUUCUGUGAUGAUUUCCUAGGGGAAAGACUGCCCGGGGUGCUUGAGGCCUGGCUUGUUUGGCCUGCUGCUGCUCCUGGCCCUCCAGGGAAUUUAACAGAUUAAUCACUGUGCUCCAUUGGAGACUUUGCUAUUUUUAGCUCUUUUGACUUCUAAACUGUGAGCAAACAUGCAACAGGCUGAGUACCUUGCAGGUAGGUAACCAAGGCC